GACGAACGCUGGCGGCGUGCCUAAUACAUGCAAGUUGAGCGCUGAAGGUUUGUACUUGUACCGACUGGAUGAGCAGCGAACGGGUGAGUAACGCGUGUGGAAUCUGCCUUUGAGCGGGGUACAACAUGUGGAAACGAAUGCUAAUACCGCAUAAAAACUUUAAACACAAGGUUUAAGGUUGAAAUAUGCAAUUGCAUCACUCAAUGAUGAUCCCGCGUUGUAUUAGCUAGUUGGUGAGGUAAAGGCUCACCAAGGCGAUGAUACAUAGCCGACCUGAGAGGGUGAUCGGCCACAUUGGGAGUGAGACACGGCCCAAAGGCCUACGGGAGGCAGCAGUAGGGGAUCGUCGGCAAGAGACGAAAGUCUGACCGAGAAACGCCGAGGGAGUGAAGAGGGUUUUCGGAUCGGAAAACUCUGUUGGUAGAGAAGGACGUGGGUGAGAGUGGAAAGCUCAUCAAGUGACGGUAACUAGCCAGAAAGGGACGGCUAACUACGUG
rnacentral:rRNA from 1 species